UACGGAGGAUGCGAGCGUUAUCCGGAUUUAUUGGGUUUAAAGGGUGCGUAGGCGGUCCGUUAAGUCAGCGGUAAAAUUGCGGGGCUCAACCCCGUCGAGCCGUUGAAACUGGCAGACUUGAGUUGGCGAGAAGUACGCGGAAUGCGCGGUGUAGCGGUGAAAUGCAUAGAUAUCGCGCAGAACCCCGAUUGCGAAGGCAGCCUGCCGGCCCCACACUGACGCUGAGGCUCGAAAGUGUGGGGAGCAAACAGG
rnacentral:rRNA from 1 species